GAGUUUGAUCCUGGCUCAGGAUGAACGCCGGCGGCGUGCCUAACACAUGCAAGUCGAACGAAGCACCUUUUAAGAUUCUUCGGAUGAUUGAUUGGUGACUGAGUGGCGGACGGGUGAGUAACGCGUGGGUAACCUGCCCUGUACAGGGGGAUAACAGUUGGAAACGGCUGCUAAUACCGCAUAAGCGCACGAGAGGGCAUCCCCUUGUGUGAAAAACUCCGGUGGUACAGGAUGGGCCCGCGUCUGAUUAGCUGGUUGGCAGGGUAACGGCCUACCAAGGCGACGAUCAGUAGCCGGUCUGAGAGGAUGAACGGCCACAUUGGAACUGAGACACGGCCCAAACUCCUACGGGAGGCAGCAGUGGGGAAUAUUGCACAAUGGGGGAAACCCUGAUGCAGCAACGCCGCGUGAGUGAAGAAGUAUUUCGGUAUGUAAAGCUCUAUCAGCAGGGAAGAUAAUGACGGUACCUGACUAAGAAGCACCGGCUAAAUACGUGCCAGCCGCCGCGGUAAUUC
rnacentral:rRNA from 1 species